UACGGGGGGGGGCAAGCGUUGUUCGGAAUUACUGGGCGUAAAGGGCUCGUAGGCGGCCAACUAAGUCGGACGUGAAAUCCCUCGGCUUAACCGGGGAACUGCAUCCGAUACUGGAAGGCUUGAGUUUGGGAGAGGGAUGCGGAAUUCCAGGUGUAGCGGUGAAAUGCGUAGAUAUCUGGAGGAACACCGGUGGCGAAGGCGGAGACCUGGGCCGAUACUGACGCUGAGGUGCGAAAGCGUGGGGAGCAAACAGG
rnacentral:rRNA from 1 species